rnacentral:lncRNA from 10 species
CUGGAGUGCAGCGGUGCAAUCUCGGCUCACUGCAACAUUUGCCUCCCGGAUUCAAGUGAUUCUCUUGCCUCAGCUUCCCGAGCGCCUUUCUUACAGGUGCCCGCCACCGCGCCCAGCUAAUUUUUUUUUGUAUUUUUAGUAGAGAUGGGGUUUCACCAUGUUGGCCAGGCUGGUCUCGACCUCCCAACCACAGGUGAUCCGCCCGCCUCGGCCUCCCUAAGUGCUGGGAUUACAGGCAUAAGCCACCGCGCCCGCCUCUUCUGGGCCUAUGUAAAUUGAACACAUUUAUGAGGCCCUGCUCUGUGCCCAGACACUGUGCUAAGCUUUGAGGAUCCACGAUGACCACCUGGAGGAAGCCGCCGGUUCCCCUCUCCCAGGGAUGUUUUCCAUCUGCCUUCACCCGGCUCGUGCCCCGCUUGCUGUGGCUCUCGCUGUGUUGCGUUGUCUGCUACAGACCUUUCCUUCUACACUGUGUUACCUACGCGUUAUCAACAUCUGAGUGUCCUGUGAUCUGAGUGACACCGAUCCCAGUGCCUGGUCCGUGGCAGGCAUUUAUCUGUUGACUGAAGGAGAAACAAGAAAGUAAGGAAGCAGCCCCGGAGCUGGAGGGAUCCGCAGGGCCCCCGAGGCCAGUUGUCUUGCUGCUGAGAAGCAGAGGAGUUCCAGAGCUUAGCGACUUCUCCCAGGUCGUCAGCGAGCGAGCGGCAGAGGCAGGACAAGAACCCGGAGCGCCCCACUUUACAGGGCACCUGCUCUCUCGACCUGUCUCUGGGUGGGGCUUUCUUGCCACGAACUUGCCCCUCCCCGACUCAGACUUUGUGCCUGGCCCUGACCCUUUCCCUCCUGGCCUCCGCACGCCGUGAGCGUGUCCCAUCAGCGUGUCGAGUGAAUCCGCGUAGACGCCCACCUCCCUGCCUGAGCUCUGCAGGUCCACCCUCUGUGUGGGACGGUGCCGCGUGCAGGUGCACACUUGAGGGAACCAGGUGGUUCAGGGUCCACAGAAACCACCUGCAGCCGGUAAGCUGCGAUUUUAAAACACGUGUAAAGGAAAUAAUCCAUCAGCACUAACUAGAAGAAUCAAGAGGGCAAGACUAUGAAAACGCCAACAGGCCAAGUCCGUAGCUGCAGGCACAGAACUUCACAGGCUCUGGAAAUGCAAACACUCGUCGGAGUCAUCGGCAGCCGUGGCUUCUCAGGAAUCUGGGAGAGGAGAAUGCAAACCGAUUAUUCGAGUUGACGGGAGAAAUACAAACACAAUUCCAACUCUCAGACUUUUU